AAUGAAUAAUACCUAAUAAUAUCCCAACCAACCGGCCAACUGCAGGACAAGCCAGUUUUACAGGACUUGCCGGCCAGUCCUUUAUUUUUAAACUUCUUUGCCCGCUCUUGGAGCUUGAGUUUGAUAUUUACACCCACCCCCCACCCCCAAAAUGGGCACAGCAGAAGAUGGACGCGCUGCUCAGAUCUAAGCAUUUGGAUACCUGUAAAUAGCUCUGGUUUAGCUUGGAGGAGACUGAACUUAAAUGGAGUGAAGUUUGAAGACUGUCUGUGAAUUUUAGCUUUAAAUAUUGUAAGUCAGCGCUGGCGGCAAUGGCCAUCUUUAACUUCGUGAUACUAAGAAAAAGAUAGGCUCUUCAGACAAGAACAAAAACAUUCCAGUUCUCAACAUUUGGAUGAUCUGAUGACUUCCUCACAAGACGAUAUACGGAAUACUUUGCUAAUUUUUACAUUCAAAGGAAAUGCUUUCUGGAAAGAAUACUGUGAGACAGAAAUGAAACAAGAAAGGUGAAGAGGAAGAAUGAACAGGGGUGCCAAGAUGUGCAAAACUGUGGGGAUUCAAAGAUUCAUAGCAAGAG
rnacentral:lncRNA from 1 species